AUGCAGAUCUUCGUGAAGACCCUGACUGGCAAGACUAUCACCCUUGAGGUGGAGUCAUCAGACACUAUCGACAAUGUUAAGGCCAAGAUCCAGGAUAAGGAGGGCAUCCCACCGGACCAGCAACGCCUGAUCUUUGCUGGCAAGCAGCUAGAGGAUGGCCGCACCCUCGCUGACUACAACAUCCAGAAGGAGUCGACCCUCCACCUUGUCCUCCGCCUCCGUGGUGGCCUGUGA
rnacentral:rRNA from 1 species